UCGACGCGAAGGGGGCAACCCCAAGUAGAGUGGCGGACGGGUGAGUAACGCGUAGGAAUCUACCCAGUAGUGGGGGAUAACCCGGCGAAAGCCGGGCUAAUACCGCAUAGGCCCUACGGGGCAAAGCAGGGGAUCUUCGGACCUUGCGCUAUUGGAUGAGCCUGCGUCGGAUUAGCUAGUUGGUGGGGUAAAGGCCCACCAAGGCGACGAUCCGUAGCUGGUCUGAGAGGAUGAUCAGCCACACUGGGACUGAGACACGGCCCAGACUCCUACGGGAGGCAGCAGUGGGGAAUAUUGGACAAUGGGGGCAACCCUGAUCCAGCAAUGCCGCGUGUGUGAAGAAGGCCUUCGGGUUGUAAAGCUCUUUCGGCAGGGAAGAAAAGUCUGACGUGAACAGCGUUGGAUGCUGACGGUACCUGAAGAAGAAGCACCGGCUAACUACGUGCCAGCAGCCGCGGUAAUACGUAGGGUGCGAGCGUUAAUCGGAAUUACUGGGCGUAAAGGGUGCGCAGGCGGUUUAGCAAGUCUGAUGUGAAAUCCCCGGGCUUAACCUGGGAACUGCGUUGGAAACUGCUGGACUAGAGUGUAGCAGAGGGGGGUGGAAUUCCACGUGUAGCAGUGAAAUGCGUAGAGAUGUGGAGGAACA
rnacentral:rRNA from 1 species